GACAGAGGGUGCAAGCGUUGUUCGGAAUUAUUGGGCGUAAAGGGCGCGUAGGUGGCCAGAUAAGUCAGAUGUGAAAGCCCAGGGCUUAACCCUGGAAGUGCAUCUGAUACUGUCUAGCUUGAGUCCUGGAGAGGGUCGCGGAAUUCCCAGUGUAGAGGUGAAAUUCGUAGAUAUUGGGAGGAACACCAGUGGCGAAGGCGGCGACCUGGACAGAGACUGACGCUGAGGCGCGAAAGCGUGGGGAGCAAAC
rnacentral:rRNA from 1 species